GCACCCCUCCCGUCGGACAGCCCCCCACUGAAGUAUUAAACAGAGGGUGUAACGACGUUCCUUCGGUGCUGUUCGCCAUUAAGCCACAUUGAGCUGCAGACACGUGACUCCAUUUCUUCACGCAAAUGACGGCAGAUCGUUUGAUUCUUUUCGUCUUUAUUUUACACAGCAUAGCGUUAACUAAACAUAGAAAUAAUAAUAAAUUCUAUCACAUGGUGGAUAAACAAUAUGCUCUUUUGCUUAAUCAGAAAUAAUUUUAAAUGCACCGGUUUAGCACCGAAAAAACCCCCGAUACCAAUCCCUACUCUCCUCAAAGGUUACUGACAUCUUGUGGUUAACAGCCAAUCGUGUAUUUGGAUAAAAUACAAUUAGUUGAGACUGUAGUUGAUUGAGGGUUUCAAGGUUUAAAUUAGUUUUGUUUUUACAGAAGCAUGGCGUAAUCAUCUCAAUAAACGAGAGCCAACUUUGGUUGCUGUGAAUCUGAUCUAGAAGACAGCGUUCUGCAAAAUAGUCAAGCUGUUUGACAUCUCUUAACACGAGAAACGAUAAAAGAAAUAAAAAGAAAAUUGAAUGAGUCUGAUUAAUGUUUUCUGUUUUGAUUCAAAGAAUCUAAGAAAAACCCUUUAGAUUUGUAAACUACUGCCUAAUAGUCUCAUUACUGCCAUUUUAUGGCAAUUACAUAUACAUCCAAAUGUAGUCCAAAUAAGUAUAUUUAAUCGUUUUAACAAAGGUAUUAUGUUAUUUCACUAGUUUAAUGAAAAAAUGCCGCCAAUUUUUUGAUAAAACAACCCUGCUUUUCAGUUAGUGGGGGCAAGUGCGUAACAAUGCAUUCUUUAGGAAAUAUUGAGAAAAUACCAAUCUAACCCCCCCAAUAUACAUGGUUACGCCCUUGAAUGGGGCCUAAAUAUUAUGUGAAUUUCCUACCCUGCUAUGGCAUGACAUAUUAUGCAGCACGAUAAAGUGUCAUUAAUGUCUACAUUGAAUCAACGGUGCUAGAAUAUUUGGUGUUUGGUUGUCCUCCCCCAAAGCCCAUAUAUAUGGAUAACUUGCCAACGAUAUAAACUAUUUGACAAAAGUAUAUAGAUAACACUGCAAUAAGUAAGACAAAUCUUUCGAUAUGAGACAGGCUGUCUCAGUUGAGUUGGGGUCUGAUAGGCGCAGAUACGAAGACAAUUGGUUGAAGUUGUCAACAUCAAAGGGGGCUGACUUUGGCAGUCUAGAAAGCUUUUGGAAUACACCCUGAAACCAGAGAUGGGGAUGGUGAGAAGAAAUUCAGUCUGAAGAAGAGUAAAUGGGAUUGGGUCAAGGGUGUAUGUGGUGAGGCAGUUAGAGUACAUACUGAAACCUCUUGUGAAGCCACAUAAGGCCUCCUGAUGGUAUCAGCCCCAGGGUGCUGAAGACCUGCGCCAUCCAGCUGUCUAAAGCCCACCAACAUCUCCUUAUUCUGAACCUAAAGCAGCAGGCAGUCCCGAUGCUGUAGGAGACACCGUGGCCUCAAUGACCACUGACUAGUUGCCCUCACAUCCCAUGUGAUGAAGGUGCUGGAGAGGCUGCUCUUGACCCACCUUCAAGCCCAGAUAAAAUCAUCACCGGGCCCUCUGCAAUUUGCAUUGCCUUAUGUGGGAGUGGAUGACGCCAUCAUCUACCUGCUGCCACGAGCCCAGUCGCACCUGGAUGGUGGCUCUAUCCCUUUCUUUGACUUCUCCAAUCAGUGAUUCUGGCGCUUCACAGUUCUGUGUACCUUGUACACAACUCACUUCAGUUAGGGCAGCUCCGACCGCUGGGCGCUACAUGACUUGUAAAAAUAAAUGCUGCAGCCUGCCGAAGAGCAACGUCAGUUUUUACGGCAUAAUGCCGGUAUGAACAGUGCGUGAGUUACCGUAAAACCUUGAUUAAAGACUACAUAGAAGACUGUAAAAAUUGUCAGCCCCUCCCCACUCUUUAUUCUUAAACCGGAAAUAUGAUCAUUAGCGCCUAAAACGUUUUGUGUAUUCUUGUGUGAGUACUACACUUUUAAAUGCUAUUUCCCAUUCUAAAUUCAUAAUUUAUGUCUGCACAUAUAAAUACUUGUUCUGAAUACAAGGGCUUGUAAAUGUAGUAGUUGUAGUUUUUAUUCUUAAAAUAUCAAUGUUUGUCUACAUUUUUAAUUGUUCAAAAAUGCUUCCAGUUUUAUUAGAAAUUAAAUAAAAUACAUAUUAAAAUGUAUACUUAAUUCUAGUUGAGUAAUAACGUCUCAACUUCACCAGGUAUUUUAUGUAAUCCUUCGGUUUUAGUAAUUACUAUUACCCUUCUACGUUAUUAACAAGGCCCAGCAGAACAGGCUGAGCCCCAAUGCUCCCUCAAGCUAAUGGUGACUGAAGGAGUGGGGGGAUGGGCGAGGGUACGGUGGGGACAGUCAAUGUCAGGUUUUGUGUUAAGAACCUUAAGUUUCGUUUCUUUACACAAAACCGAACUGUUACCAUCCACGUGGGGUCCUCGGUCUGGCCACGCCCCCACCAAGCACCUGCUACCGUCCAUUUCCCUCAGACUGCCGAGGAGCAGACAACGUGACGGUGCUGGCUGCAGAAGCUGGAUAGAAAUGGUGAGUUUUUAAUUAUUGGACUAGCUUCUAAUGUAAAACAGUGCUUUUUACGUUUACUUUGAUACUAUUAAUAUAUGUACUGCCAUAUAAAAUGAGCUGUUGCAAUGUGCUAAACUCAACUUAGAUGGGAAGCUAAUGUUAGCUAACAAUAAGCAAGCAUGUGCAACUAGCACCACAAAUAGUGCUGUUAAGUUUACUUUGAUACUAUUUUCAUAUGUACUGCCAUAUAAAAUGAGCUGUUGCAAUGUGUUAAACUCAACUUAAAUGGACAGCUAAUGUUAGCUAACAAUAAGCAAGCAUGUGCAAGCAGCAGCAUGUGCACGCGUUGUGAAAUAGAAUGCUGGACAGCUAAUUAGUUAUUUAUUAUAUACUAUAUAAAUAUAUUCAUGUUUUAUCAAUAUCUUUUCACACAGAAUGUGAAUAUUAUGCUCAACAAAGGGAGUGUAAUACUUAAUCUGCGUUAAGACCUGGAUUAUAACUAAUUUCCCUUUAACCAUUUUAAGUAUCCUUACGGUGGCUUUUGGGCCUAUAACACUUAAUAAGCAGUUUUCCAUUUGCCCAAAGAGUGAUUGUAAUAUCUACCCAUGUAUAAAUAGGCAUUUUAAUUCAGAUUGUCAUAGGUAUUGAGAUAGAUAAUAUAAUGUUUGUCGUUAAGAACAGAAGUAGAUGUUGUUACUAUAAUGCAUUCCAUAACAGAUAAACUUAAUUCAUUUCAGUAAAAAAAAAAAAAGAGUACUGUAAUGAGUUGGAUGUAUAGCUUUGGCUGAAUGUGUCCCUUGUGCUUUUAGGAGGAUGGAGCAUGUUUGCCAUCCAGUAGUGACAGCUCGAAGUGCACAGAUGCUGAUGUCGGAGAAAUGAAGGAGCCUUUGACCGUGAACAUACUAACCAGGUAGUUCCGAUGAAAAGAUGCUGCUGGCUGGAGAGGUCUGGUG